GCAGAUCCAUCACGAUGCUCGCCAUCCUAAGAUCCCCUUUGAGGAAGAUAAGGUCGUGAAUUUACAUGCUAGUCUUGUAGCCGAACCCUCUAAGCCGCGUCCCGGUGUUAGGGGCAGCUUCAAGAAGUGAAGGGUGAGGGCGAAGGUUAUAAAGAUUAAAAUUUCCCAAGUGUUUUCUGUAUUUGUUUUUCUGGAUGUCAUUGGGAAGCUAUGAUGAUAUUAAU
rnacentral:misc_RNA from 1 species